rnacentral:rRNA from 1 species
AGUGAACGCUGGCGGCGUGCUUAACACAUGCAAGUCGAACGAGAACGGAUUAUAGCUUGCUAUAAUUGUCAGCUAAGUGGCGCACGGGUGAGUAAUGUAUAGGUAAUAUGCCUCUUACUAAGGGAUAACAAAUGGAAACGUUUGCUAAUACCUUAUACUCCUUAUUAACCUAAGUUAAUAAGGGAAAGAUUUAUUGGUAAGAGAUUAGCCUAUAUUGUAUCAGUUAGUUGGUGGGGUAAUGGCCUACCAAGACUAUGACACAUAACUGGUUUGAGAGGAUGAUCAGUCACACUGGAACUGAGACACGGUCCAGACUCCUACGGGAGGCAGCAGUGGGGAAUAUUGCACAAUGGACGAAAGUCUGAUGCAGCAACGCCGCGUGGAGGAUGACACAUUUCGGUGCGUAAACUCCUUUUAUAUGAGAAGAUAAUGACGGUAUUAUAUGAAUAAGCACCGGCUAACUCCGUGCCAGCCGCCGCGGUAA